rnacentral:rRNA from 1 species
AACGAACGCUGGCGGCGCGCCUAAUACAUGCAAGUCGAGCGAGAAGACGUAGCAAUACGUUUGUAAAGCGGCGAACGGGUGAGGAAUACAUGGGUAACCUACCCUCGAGUGGGGAAUAACUAGCCGAAAGGUUAGCUAAUACCGCGUACGCUCCUUGGACUUCGGUUCAGGGAGGAAAGCGAUACCGUGGGUAUCGCGCUCUUGGAUGGGCCCAUGUCCUAUCAGCUUGUUGGUGAGGAACGGCUCACCAAGGCUUCGACGGGUAGCUGGUCUGAGAGGACGAUCAGCCACACUGGCACUGCGACACGGGCCAGACUCCUACGGGAGCAGCAGUAAGGAUAUUGCGCAAUGGGCGAAAGCCUGACGCAGCGACGCCGCGUGGGGGAUGAAGGUCUUCGGAUUGUAAACCCCUUUCGGGAGGGAAGAUGGAUGGGUAACCCGAUUCGGACGGUACCUCCAGAAGCAGCCACGGCUAACUUCGUGCCAGCAGCAGCCGCAGUAAC